GCGGGUGCUGGGGCCGCGCUCCAGGGCUGGGGGCUGCGCGCUGGGGCUGCCGCUGCGCCGGCUCGGCCGUGGGGGAGGCGGCGCUGGCAGCCACGGCAAAAGGCGGCAGGGGCACCUCGGCGGCAGAGGCACCUCAGCGACAGAGGCAACGCCGACAGCUACUUCUGCAGAGCCAGCCAGACUUCUGCGGGCAUCCCCGGGAGCUGCACGGCGCACGGAGCGGUCCGGGGAACAGCAGCUCGGCGGUGACUGACUUGCGGGGGAGUUGCCCCGCAGAAUCCAGGCAUGUCGGUAACUGAGAACAGAAAGCAGAAUCUCUCUCUCUUUAGUCCUUCUGCUCACUUGUGGAUAACUUAAAACUAAAAGAUUGUGUUUUACUAAAAGUUAGCAUGCAAGAAAUUUUAAGAGUUUCCCAGAGAAUGAAUCUUUAUAUAAAAGCUUUAGUGAGUUGCCUUGGUUUUAGUCACAUUUUACCCCUGUAAAGAACUUCUGCCCAAAUUUCGUGUUCAGUCUUAGCAGGAGGAGACAUAAGGUUCACACAAUAGAGAUCAUUUGUUGCUUAGCAACUGGGUGGGACUCAAACCACCUCCAGCAGUUUCUCAGAACUAGGGAGAGAGUAGAACUUAUACACCAAAAACUACAAAUCUGCAAAUAAGAUAAAUGGAAAGCUGGCAGGCUGAGGAUUUCCUUGAUUCUUAGAUAAAAGAACUAAAAACACGAGGAGAUGAUGUAGAUCACAUCUAAGGAACUGGCUGCAAGCUGGAAUCUGGCCUUCUAUAUCCUUCUGAACUGCACAUGUAGCUUAAGGCUGAGUAUUAAACAGAAUGAUCAAACAGUA